CAGUCGCCGCGGUAAUACAGAGGGUGCAAGCGUUAAUCGGAAUUACUGGGCGUAAAGCGCGCGUAGGUGGUUUGUUAAGUUGGAUGUGAAAGCCCCGGGCUCAACCUGGGAACUGCAUCCAAAACUGGCAAGCUAGAGUACGGUAGAGGGUGGUGGAAUUUCCUGUGUAGCGGUGAAAUGCGUAGAUAUAGGAAGGAACACCAGUGGCGAAGGCGACCACCUGGACUGAUACUGACACUGAGGUGCGAAAGCGUGGGGAGCAAACAGGAUUAGAUACCCCUGUAGUCCCUGUCUCUUAUAU
rnacentral:rRNA from 1 species